CGAGAAGCUUGCUUCUCUGAUGUUAGCGGCGGACGGGUGAGUAACACGUGGAUAACCUACCUGUAAGACUGGGAUAACUUCGGGAAACCGGAGCUAAUACCGGAUAAUAUUUUGAACCGCAUGGUUCAAAAGUGAAAGACGGUCUUGCUGUCACUUAUAGAUGGAUCCGCGCUGCAUUAGCUAGUUGGUAAGGUAACGGCUUACCAAGGCAACGAUGCAUAGCCGACCUGAGAGGGUGAUCGGCCACACUGGAACUGAGACACGGUCCAGACUCCUACGGGAGGCAGCAGUAGGGAAUCUUCCGCAAUGGGCGAAAGCCUGACGGAGCAACGCCGCGUGAGUGAUGAAGGUCUUCGGAUCGUAAAACUCUGUUAUUAGGGAAGAACAUAUGUGUAAGUAACUGUGCACAUCUUGACGGUACCUAAUCAGAAAGCCACGGUAACUACGUGCCAGCAGCCGCGGUAAUACGUAGGUGGCAAGCGUCAUCCGGAAUUAUUGGGCGUAAAGCGCGCGUAGGCGGUUUUUUAAGUCUGAUGUGAAAGCCCACGGCUCAACCGUGGAGGGUCAUUGGAAACUGGAGAACUUGAGUGCAGAAGAGGAAAGUGGAAUUCCAUGUGUAGCGGUGAAAUGCGCAGAGAUAUGGAGGAACACCAGUGGCGAAGGCGACUUUGCUGGUGCUGUGAACUGACGCUGAUGGUGCGAAAGCGUGGGGAUCAAACAGGAGUUAGAUACCCUGGUAGUCCACCCGUAAA
rnacentral:rRNA from 1 species